rnacentral:rRNA from 1 species
AACUAACGCUGGCAGUGCGUCUUAAGCAUGCAAGUCAAACGGAAUGUAGCAAUACAUUCAGUGGCGAACGGGUGAGUAACGCGUGGAUGAUCUACCUAUGAGAUGGGGAUAACUACUAGAAAUAGUAGCUAAUACCGAAUAAGGUCAAUUAAUUUGUUAAUUGAUGAAAGGAAGCCUUUAAAGCUUCGCUUGUAGAUGAGUUUGCGUCUUAUUAGCUAGUUGGUAGGGUAAAUGCCUACCAAGGCGAUGAUAAGUAACCGGCCUGAGAGGGUGAACGGUCACACUGGAACUGAGAUACGGUCCAGACUCCUACGGGAGGCAGCAGCUAAGAAUCUUCCGCAAUGGGCGAAAGCCUGACGGAGCGACACUGCGUGAAUGAAGAAGGUCGAAAGAUUGUAAAAUUCUUUUAUAAAUGAGGAAUAAGCUUUGUAGGAAAUGACAAAGUGAUGACGUUAAUUUAUGAAUAAGCCCCGGCUAAUUACGUGCCAGCAGCCGCGGUAAUACGUAAGGGGCGAGCGUUGU